rnacentral:rRNA from 1 species
UACGGGGGGAGCAAGCGUUGUUCGGAUUUACUGGGCGUAAAGGGCGCGUAGGCGGCCACCGCAAGUCGACUGUGAAAUCUCCGGGCUUAACCCGGAAAGGUCAGCCGAUACUGCGGGGCUAGAGUGCAGAAGGGGCAACUGGAAUUCUCGGUGUAGCGGUGAAAUGCGUAGAUAUCGAGAGGAACACCUGCGGCGAAGGCGGCAUCCUGGACCGGCAUUGACGCUGAUGACGCGAAAGCCAGGGAGCAAACGGG